GUGGGGAAUAUUGGACAAUGGGCGAAAGCCUGAUCCAGCCAUGCCGCGUGUGUGAAGAAGGUCUUCGGAUUGUAAAGCACUUUAAGUUGGGAGGAAGGGCAGUAAGUUAAUACCUUGCUGUUUUGACGUUACCGACAGAAUAAGCACCGGCUAACUUCGUGCCAGCAGCCGCGGUAAUACGAAGGGUGCAAGCGUUAAUCGGAAUUACUGGGCGUAAAGCGCGCGUAGGUGGUUUUGUAAGUUGGAGGUGAAAUCCCCGGGCUCAACCUGGGAACUGCCUCCAAAACUGCUGAGCUAGAGUACGGUAGAGGGUGGUGGAAUUUCCUGUGUAGCGGUGAAAUGCGUAGAUAUAGGAAGGAACACCAGUGGCGAAGGCGACCACCUGGACUGAUACUGACACUGAGGUGCGAAAGCGUGGGGUGCAAACAGGAUUAGAAACCCUGGUAGUCC
rnacentral:rRNA from 1 species